rnacentral:rRNA from 1 species
GUGUAUGGCCAUGCCAUCCUCAACAAGCCCGAUCCUGUCUGAUAUCAAAAGCUAAGCAGGGUCGGGCCUGGUUAGUACUUGGAUGGGAGACCACCUAGGAAGACUAGGUGCUGUAGGUG